rnacentral:rRNA from 1 species
GUCCACGCCCUAAACGAUGUCGACUAGUUGUCGGAGGCUUGCGCCUUCGGUAACGCAGCUAACGCGUGAAGUCGACCGCCUGGGGAGUACGGUCGCAAGAUUAAAACUCAAAGGAAUUGACGGGGACCCGCACAAGCGGUGGAUGAUGUGGAUUAAUUCGAUGCAACGCGAAAAACCUUACCUACCCUUGACAUGCCAGGAACUUGCCAGAGAUGGCUCGGUGCUCGAAAGAGAACCUGGACACAGGUGCUGCAUGGCUGUCGU